rnacentral:misc_RNA from 1 species
AAAGUCGUAACAAGGUUUCCGUAGGUGAACCUGCGGAAGGAUCAUUACUUUCAGUACUUGGGGGUUGUAAGCCUAUAUCACUAUAGCUUGCCCCUACCUGAACCCUUGUCUUUUGCGUACCUAUGUUUCCUCGGUGGGCUUGCCCGCCGGCUGGACAAACUUAUAACCUUUUUAAUUUUCAAUCAGCGUCUGAAUAAACAUAAUAAUUACAACUUUCAACAACGGAUCUCUUGGUUCUG